rnacentral:rRNA from 1 species
UACGUAGGGUGCAAGCGUUGUCCGGAAUUAUUGGGCGUAAAGAGCUCGUAGGCGGCUUGUCACGUCGAUUGUGAAAGCCCGAGGCUUAACCUCGGGUCUGCAGUCGAUACGGGCUAGCUAGAGUGUGGUAGGGGGAGAUCGGAAUUCCUGGUGUAGCGGUGAAAUGCGCAGAUAUCAGGAGGAACACCGGUGGCGAAGGCGGAUCUCUGGGCCAUUACUGACGCUGAGGAGCGAAAAGCGUGGGGGAGCGAACAGG